AUUGAACGCUGGCGGAAUGCUUUACACAUGCAAGUCGAGCGGCAGCGCGGGGGCAACCCGGGCGGCGAGCGGCGAACGGGUGAGUAACGCAUCGGAAUGUACCCAGUAGUGGGGGAUAACUAGUCGAAAGACUAGCUAAUACCGCAUACGCACUGAGGUGGAAAGCGGGGGAUCGUAAGACCUCGCGUUAAUGGAGCGGCCGAUGCCGGAUUAGCUAGUUGGUGAGGUAAAGGCUCACCAAGGCGACGAUCCGUAGCUGGUCUGAGAGGACGACCAGCCACACUGGAACUGAGACACGGUCCAGACUCCUACGGGAGGCAGCAGUGGGGAAUUUUGGACAAUGGGCGCAAGCCUGAUCCAGCCAUUCCGCGUGAGUGAAGAAGGCCUCGGGUUGUAAGACUCUUUCGUCAAGGAAGAAAC
rnacentral:rRNA from 1 species